UCUCAGAAGUGGGACUGCCAUUGCAGCUAAAGUAUUCAAUCUGCAACUGGAAGCGGCAUUCAAGAGUUUUGAUACAGAAUGUGAAGUUUUGCGCAGCCUUCGCCAUAGGAAUCUCGUGAAAGUCAUCACUAGUUGCUCCAACCUUGAUUUUAAGGCUUUAGUGCUCGAGUAUAUGCCUAAUGGAAGUCUUGAUAAGUAUUUGUAUUCGCACAACAACUUCCUAGAUAUCAGCCAGAGACUAAGCAUUAUGAUAGAUGUGGCAUGUGCGUUGGAAUAUCUCCAUCAUGGAUGCUCCUCACCCGUGAUUCAUUGUGAUAUAAAGCCUAGCAACGUCUUGCUGGAUGAGGAUAUGGUUGCCCACCUAAGCGACUUUGGUAUUUCAAAACUGCUUGGUGAAGAUGAGAGUGAUUUAUACACAAAAACUUUAGCAACAUUUGGUUAUAUAGCACCAGGUACGUCUCUUUGUUUUUGCUAAUUUGAACAUUGAUUUUUCCUCUUAUUCUUUUUUUUCCAAUCAAGAAAGUAUAUUGCAUCUUUUAACUAAUUGUUUGACUGUAGAGUAUGGGCUGGAUGGACUGGUGUCAAUAAAAUGUGAUGUCUAUAGUUACGGGAUCAUGUUGCUGGAAACAUUUACUAGGAGAAAGCCUAGUGAUUUUGAGGGAGAUCUUAGCUUGAAGCAAUGGGUGAGUUAUUCACUCCCAGAGGCAGUAAUGGACGUUAUGGAUGCCAACUUGGUUACACCAAUGGAUAAUCGCUUACAGAAGGAGUUAGAUAUCGUGGCAUCAAUCCUGAAAGUAGCAUUAGAUUGUUGUGCUGAAACUCCGACAAGAAGGACAAACAUGAAAGAUGUUGUAGGGAUGCUACAGAAGAUCAAGAUUCAACUUCUUGCAUGCUGAGCAUGUUCUCUGAAUCUCUUGUUCCGAAUCGAUCACUUUUUUUGUUUUGUUUUAGCACUUGAUUUGUGCAUGAUUCUGUUUUCAGAAAUGCUAGUUGGUUGCAAUAAAUGUCACUGUUUCCUCUUAAAAACUAAAACCAAAUUGAUCCUCUUGAAAAUCUUGAAGGAGAAUGAUCAUUUUGUAAAUUGUUAGAGGAAUAAACUAUAUGAAUAGAAGUAGGCAAGUAAUUUAUUAAAUGUUUUACAUGGGAAACACUAAGACAUCAAGACAACAAACAAAAAGGGCAAUGACAAAAAAUGCAUUCGUGCAAGCUAUAUAUGAAGAAGGAUCUCAUCCAAGGUUGUAUGUAAUUUGUAAUGCAGGCAAACUACUCGACCUACACAAAAUCGUACAUUGUUGAACACUUAAGACUUGGUAGAAAACACAAAACAAUUUGCAGAAAUUCACUGAGGCAAAACGUCGAACAUGUUGCGGGCAACAAAUCAUGCAGUAAGCUACACAUUCAUAUACUAACUGCUUUAUCAGUGUCUUGAAAAUAAUGGAUAGAUUUCAUACCUGAGACCUGAGUGAGUGCUUGAAACAAGGAAGGGAAAAUCACUUGCUAAAACUCAACAAAUAACCACUUUUCAGCUCCUGCAAUUGAAAAAUAAUGAUUCAAAGUGUUCGUCUUGAAUAUUUUGUUAGCCUCUUAAUAAUAUUUUUUUUAAAAUGACCUUUUAACUUUGAAAAUAAUUGCUUGAAAAUUAGAAUAACAACUUAUACCUCAUGAGCAACAAUUUAUACUAUUUCACUGAGUAGCUUUGGUUAUGUGAUUUCAUCUCGUGAUUUGAGUCAUUUGAUAAAAUCUGAUUUUGAACUUGCAAUUCCAUCUCAUGAUUUGGGAUGACAUCUCAAAUUUUCCAAAAAGUUUGAUUGGGAAUUUGAUAUCACCAUUUUACAUUUUUCAAAUACAAAAAUUGGUCCACAAGUUUAUAUUCUUUUAAAAGAAAAUACUAUUUUAUAUCAACUAACCAUUUAUUUCUUAUGUAGACAAAAUUUAUAAUUGAUAUGAUUUCCCUUACCAACCUUUAAACAAUUUAUAUAGUAUAUAACUGUUACUCUCACCAAUCAAAUUUGUAGUUGAGGCUAGUUUUUGAAUGUACGUUACAAAUGUAUCCACUCAGCAAGACUUGUGAAUAAUUUAACAAUGAUAGUAUGUGUAGAAUGAAGCACCAAAUUUAUAUUGUCAGUCUAGCAAAACUUGUGAACAAUUAAAUGACAUAGGCAAGCUUAGCUAAUCUAGCUAACUCUUAUGGAGAGAUAAGACUUAAGACAAGUUCACAAUUUUAUCAUCAAACAACUGGAUGACUUCUAGUGGGCAAAAAUGUGUUACAAAUGAGAGUCGAUGGGCGAAUAUGGUAGAAGAAGAGGAGGAGCAUGUCACACCUCAUAGUAAAUUGAUCCCCGGAGCACCAACCUUUGUGCCUAAGGGUAGUAGCAUUGCCUAUGUUUCAUCUCCAUUACAUUGGGGGCGACAAUUGAUUUUAGCAGGUUCUAAUGUUCAAAAAGUUUAUGUCAGUGACAAGGAGCUUAUUGAUGCAUUGUGGGGUUCUAAUGUUGAAAGGUUGGUUUCUCUUACAAGUUACACCUAUUAACACUAACAAACAACUGCAAGUUGAUGGUAGUCAGUUUGCUAACCUACAAGAUGAGGAAAGUGAUGAAGAGGAUUGGUUGGAUCAAUGUUUUGAGAAUGUAGCUAGGGAUGCAGAUAUUUCUCCUAGGCAACAACGCAAUACACUACAAAAAAGGGGCUAAUUCGCAGGAGUAAAAAUUACGAAUAGUGGGGGUUUAGAACCCCCACAAUUUGUCGUUACAGGGGUUUCCACAACCCCCAUAGUUAGGUUUGUCACAAUUAAGUUGCAGCAGUUUUUAAGCAACCCCCACAAUCGACAAUUAGCGGGGUUCUAACUUCUGUAAUUUAUUUUCCAGGAAAUAAUUUUAUUCCAUUUUGUGGGGGUUUUAUAACCCUCCACAAAUAAAUUUUAGUAUGUUGGGGCUAUAACCUCCGCAACACUUUUGAUGGAAUUUUUAUAUUCAAUUUCGUAGAGGUAAUAAUGUAUAUAAAAUUAAGCUACAACUAAAUUAAUAAAAUAUUUCAUGGAAUAAAAAACACAAAGAUCUAACUAAAUCAUGAAGUUAACAUAAAUUAGUGUUAAAGUUCAUCAAAUUUACAAUAGACUUUCUUUAAAUCAAAAGAACAUAAAAACAAAAAAAUUGAUACGGUGUUGUCUCUAUGUACACAAUGUCUACUCAACUCAACUUCUCUAAAAAAUAUAAUACGUAAAUCUGGCUUUUAGAAGAACACUUCAAUUCCUUCCAAGUAUUUAUUGAUCUUUUAGACAUUAUUUUUUCGAACUGAACCUUGACUUUGGCACUCCUGCAACAAUAGUGUAUGUGAAGGACAUUAGUUGUGCAACAAUAGAGAGAAAUGCAAAAAGGCAUAGAGGAAAAUAGCACAUUUGACUGUAGCACAAGAGACUCAAUGUCUACGAUAGGCAGGAUCGAUUCUGUCAAGUAUUAGCUCAGUGCUAUACCAGUAGUCAGUGACGGAAUCAAGAUUUUCAUCAGCCUUUGUGCCUAAGGGUAGUAGCAUUGCCUAUGUUUCAUCUCCAUUACAUCGGGGGUGACAAUUGAUUUUAGCAGGUUCUAAUGUUCAAAAAGUAUAUGUCAGUGACAAGGAGCUUAUUGAUGCAUUGGGGGGGUUCUGAUGUUGAAAGGUUGGUUUCUCUUACACCUAUUAACACUAACAAACAACUACAAGUUGGUGGUAGUAGUACUUUCUCCCCAAAUCAGUUUGCUAACCUACAAGAUGAGGAAAGUGAUGAAGAGGAUUGGUUGGAUCAAUGUUUUAAGAAUGUAGCUAGGGAUGCAGAUAUUUCUCCUAGGCAACAACACAAUAUAUAACAAAAAGAAGCAUGGAGGAAAGAAUAAAUGGAAUGACAAGGUGCCUGAGGAGGUUGUUUCAAACACCUACCGAUGCGACUGGCAAAACAGAAUCAUAUGACAGUGUCAACAUAUUCAACAAGAUCCAAUAAUUCCAAGAAGAAGUGAUGAAAUAUCAAGUGUUGUUGGAUAGAUUUGAAGAAGACAAGAACAAAAUACUUCAGGUUACUUUAGAUGGGCAAUCAAUUCUUUUCAUUCAUGCAUCUUUAAAAGGAAUGUUCAGGUCGAUAACUCAACAUUCUUCUUGGUUGUUAUAUUUUUGCACUAUUUAAGCAUCCUCGUUUGUAAUAUCAUCAUAGAGUGAAUUACAAACUCUGUAAAUUUACCAAAUACCUAGUUCUCUCUAGCUCAUAUUUUCUUCAUGCUUGUUAGUUAGUAGAGGUUUGUUACCGCAUUAGGAUUGGUAAGGUAAGACCUAGCCCCCCUUGCUUGUACUUAUCCCUAUUGAGAUUUUUAUUUCUAAUAAAAGGCCGCUAGACACUUUGUCUAGUGGUAAAUUUGCCAAAACAAAUAAAUCCUUGAAAGCAUUGACUUAUUAGAAUGGCAACAUAAAGCACAUGUGUAUUGGUGUGGUCGAUGGGAGAUGACAAAUAUCUUCGUGGAAUUAGUGGAGAUGUUUGAAAGUUGGCUUGAAUACCGUUAUAACAAUACAUAAAUGUACCAUUUAAUUGGCAUUUAUGUCCUCCAACAUUGGGUGUGAACAAGUAAACACUUAAACUUGUGUAAAGUUGAACAAGUACAUACACUGUAUACAUCUUAUGUGGCGUUCUAUGUAGCAAUUUACAUCCUACGUGGCAUCUUACGUGUAUUAUACCACAUAGGACACGUGUGUCUACUUGUUCAACGUUAUAAAAGUUUAUGUGUAUACUUGUGCACACCCAAAGUUGAAGGUUGUAGAUGCCAGCUGAGGCCAAGUUAAAGAACACAUUUAUGUAUUAUCCCUAAAAAAAGUGUGAUUACGUGUUCGGAUAAAAGUAUUGAAAUUUAUAAUAAAGAUUUAUGUAUUUGGUAAGAUGUUGUAUUGGUAAGUUGUUCUUUUAUUAAAAUAACUAAUCUAAAAUAAUCUUGAUUUGUCUUUUUUUAGAAAGUGUAAAUCUAAAUGUAACCUUGUAAAGAAAAAGAGGAACACUAUAUAUCUUAGUGAAGAGGAAGUUACGAGACUUAUAUUGGAAAAAGUAUUUUUGAGAAUUUAAAAAAAAAUAAGGACAAAAUAGUAAGAGACCGGGUCAAAUCAAGAGUGUUCAUAACCCAAAAAUUAAUAAGUUCGGAAUAAUCAACUUAUGACUUUUGAUUGGUCUUAGUGGUUUAUAAGUACUUUGAAUGUUUACUAAUUAAUACGAACGUAAGAUAAAAAUUGUUUAUAAGUUAGUUUAACGAGCCUACAAGCUUAGUCAAAUACCUUCUAAAUAUCUCAUUUAAUUUUGUACUUUUUAUCUCUCAAGUGAGAAGCGAUAAUGAUCAAGAACUCACAAGUGUUUUUUUUUUUUUUGUAAGAUUCAUACAUAAAUUAUCAAGUGUUUGUGUUUUCUAUCUGAAUUAUCACUAUUUAUAAUUAACUCUUCUUUCUUUAAAGGGAAAAGACCCAACUAUGCCAUUGAACUUUGAGAAAAAAAACUCAUAAUCUAUUCCAUCCGUUUAGAAAAUUAGUUUAUCUAUGACAUUUUCAUUUGAGAAAAUGUUCAUCCAUAUCAUUGUUAGUUAAUUAAAAAUAGUUUUAAUUUUGCUUAGUUAUACAACGUUUACUAGCUAGCUAUUCAUGUCUGAAAUUAAUACACAAUUUGUUUUACAAUUUAAAAAACAACGUAACUAAUACUUGUAUAAGUUAGGAGGGAAUUUGUACAUAAUGUUAUCUCAAAUGGACUGUCAAUGCUUAUAGAAAAUAUAAUAACAAAAGGAUAAUGACAAUUGAGAAAAAGGUAAUUAAGAAAUGAUGCAUAAAUCAGAGGUCAAAUAUAUGAUAAAUAAUAAUAAUAAUAAUGAGAUAUAACUAUAUUAGGAAACAAAUUUAGCAGAGGCCUUUUUCCACUGUAGGUCCACUUUUCAUCACACAAUUCUAGAGAAUAUGAAAGCAAGAGUAUUUACAAAGAAUUACGCACACAAUAAAUAAAGCAAAACUUGGUUUACUUGCCAUGUCUUAAUUGGCUGAUUAGAGGAAUUUUUUUGCCACCAUAUUUGACCAUUCUGAUUGAGAUGUGAAAUACUUGAUUGAAUGGAAAAAUCUCCUAAAAAGAGAUCUUAUUGCUUUUCAAAGUCUCAAAACCACAGGUUACUAGUACUAAUAUUUGCACUAAUGGAGAAAGCCUUCACAUUUUUCCUCUUAACAAUACUCUUGUUGCCUCACUAUGUUAUGGCCCAAACCAACAUUACAACUGAUCAAUUAGCUCUUCUCUCUUUUAAAUCCCAAAUUAGUUCCGACCCCUUUCACUUCUUGAAUGAAAGUUGGUCUCCUGCUAUUUCUGUUUGCCGUUGGGUUGGAGUCAUUUGUGGUUCUCGUCACCAGCGAGUGAAGUCGUUGAAGCUUUCCAACUUUGCUCUUACAGGAAGAAUUCCCCGUGAUUUUGGAAAUCUCACAUUUCUUGUUUCUCUUGACUUGGGAAACAACCAUUUCCACGGAAAUUUGCCUCAAGAAAUGGCACAUUUGCGUCGGCUUAAGUUUCUUGAUUUAAGUUUAAACAGCUUCAGAGGGGAAAUUCCUUCUUGGUUUGGGUUUUUACACCAACUUCAAGUUGUAAACCUUAGGAGUAACAGUUUUACUGGUUCCAUUCCUCCGUCACUCUCGAAUGCCUCAAGGUUGGAGAUUUUAGAAAUAUCUACCAAUUUACUUGAAGGAAACAUCCCGGAAGAGAUUGGCAAUCUUCACAACCUGAAAUCGUUGUCCAUAGAACAAAAUCAGCUUACGGGUUCUAUACCAUUCACAUUAUUCAAUAUUUCUAGAAUUGAAGUCAUUGCAUUUUCAUAUAAUAGCCUAUCAGGAGAUCUUCCCAAUGGUUUAUGCAAUGAUCUCCCAAUACUCAAAGAGCUUUUAUCUAUCCAGAAACAAGCUUGAUGGUCAUAUGCCUACAAGCUUGUCAAAUUGUUCACGACUUCAAAUAUUGUCUCUAUCUGGAAAUUAAUUUUGAUGGACCAAUACAUAAUGAAAUUGGAAAAUUGACUAACUUGCAGAAAUUGUAUCUCGGAUACAACCAUUUCACAGGUAUAUAUGUUUUAUCUUAUGAAUGCUACUACUAUAUAUUGAAUCUAAUUACCUCACAUCUUUCUUUAUUACACAUUGAAUGCAGGUAUAGUUCCAGAAGAAAUUGGAAAUCUUGUUAAUUUGGUGGACUUAAGCGUGGAGAAUAACCAGAUUACCGGAUCUAUCCCAAUCUCCAUAUUCAAUAUCUCAUCGCUGCAAUCAUUGUUACUGUGGGGCAACAAUCUUAGUGGAUUCUUACCACGGGAGAUUGGCAACUUAACCAAGAUGCAAUUCUUAAAUCUCAAGGAAAAUAGGUUUACUGGUACGUAUUCAAAGUUAUAGCGAUCUGUAUUGAGCUAGCUAGACUCAUUCUUUCUUCACGUGUUGACAGGUGAAAUACCCAAAGAUAUAAGAAAUCUCGUUGAGUUGGAGGAAUUUGAUGUUGGGUUUAAUAGUUUUAGUGGUUCACUUCCAAUGGAGAUCUUCAACAUAUCACAACUGAGAACAAUUCAACUUUCAGACAACAAUCUAUCAGGAACUCUACCACCAAACAUAGGUUCUACCUUACCCAACAUUGAAAUACUUUAUCUGCAUACCUUAACCAAUCUUGUUGGGACUAUUCCUCAUUCUAUCUCCAAUUGUUCAAAGCUUACUGAUCUAGAGCUUUCACAAAACAAACUCAGUGGCUUAAUACCCAAUUCUCUUGGAUAUUUGACUCAUCUAAACUUCCUAAACUUGUGGGGAAACAAUUUAACCAGUGAUUCAUUUUUAAGCUUCUUGACUUCCUUAACCAAUUGCAGAAAUUUAACAUUCUAUCUUUCAACCCUCUAAAUGGCAUGCUUCCGGUCUCCGUAGGGAAUUUCUCCAAAUCUCUUGUAAAGUUUUAUGCCGCUGCUUGCAAGAUUAACGGUCAGAUUCCAAAUGAAGUUGGCAACUUAAGCAGCUUAUUAGACCUUGAUCAUUCUAAUAAUAACUUCAUUGGAUCAAUUCCUACCUCAACUCGUAACUUGAGAAACCUUCAGCGCCUGUACUUGAACAACAACAAGCUUACGGGAUUUAUUGGAGAUAAUUUAUGUAAAUUGCAGCAUUUGGGUGCUAUUUACUUGGGACAAAAUCAACUUUCAGGAUCUCUUCCUAAUUGUUUAGGGAACGUCACUUCCCUUAGAGAGAUACAUAUGUAUUCCAAUAAAUUGAGUUCCAAUAUACCAACAAGCUUAGGAAAUCUCAAAAAUCUAAUGGUUCUUAACUUGUCAUCAAACAACAUGGUUGGUUCUUUACCUCCGGAAAUUGGAAAUCUAAAAGCUGUGAUACAGAUGGAUCUGUGGUUCUUUACCUCCGGAAAUUGGAAAUCUAAAGGCUGUGAAUUAUAUGGAUCUGUCAAUGAAUCAAUUUUUUGCGACACAACAAGUUGCAAGGAUCUAUACCUGACUCAAUGAGAAACAUGGUAGGCUUGGAAUUCCUAGACCUUUCUCAUAAUAAUAUAACAGGAAUCAUUCCCAUGUCUUUGGAGAAACUUCAAUACCUCAAGUAUUUCAAUGUUUCUGACAACAAAUUGUAUGGUGAAAUACCCUCGGGGGGUCCUUUCAAGAACCUCUCGAGUCAGUUUUUCAUCGACAAUGAAGCAUUGUGUGGUUCUUCAAGAUUUAGUGUCCCGCGAUGCCCCACUUCAUCAAAGCACAGAUCAAAUAGGAAACAAAUGUUUGCUCUAUUUCUUAUGCUGGGAAUUGCACUUGUAUUUGUUCCUAUUGCCUUUGUGUUCGUAUGGAUUAGGUAUAGAAGAGGUAAAAGAGUUCCUCAACGAGCUGAUUCAUUGUCUAUCGCAACAACGGAAAGAAUUUCAUACUAUGAACUACUCCAAGCAACUGAUUCACUUAGCGAGAGUACUAAUCUGAUUGGUUCUGGAAGUUUUGGCUCUGUUUACAAAGGCGUUCUCAGGAGUGGGACUGCCAUUGCAGUUAAAGUGUUCAAUCUGCAACUGGAAGCGGCAUUCAAGAGUUUAGUGCUCGAGUAUAUGCCUAAUGGAAGUCUUGACAAGUAUUUGUAUUCGCACAACUACUUCCUAGACAUCAGGCAGAGACUAAGCAUUAUGAUAGAUGUAGCAUGCACGUUAGAAUAUCUCCAUCAUGGGUGCUCGUUACCCGUGAUUCACUGUGAUCUGAAGCCUAGUAACGUCUUGCUGGACGAGGAUGUGGUUGCCCACCUAAGCGACUUUGGUAUUUCAAAACUGCUUGGUGAAGAUGAGAGUGAUUUAUACACAAAAACCUUAGCAACAUUUGGUUAUAUUGCACCGGGUGCGUCUCUUUGUUUUUGCUAAUUUGAACAUUGAUUUUUCGUCUUUUUUUUUUUUCCAAUCAAGAAAGUAUAUUGCCUAUUUAAAUUAAUUGUUUCCCUGUAGAGUAUGGAAUGGAUGGACUGGUGUCAUUAAAAUGUGAUGUCUAUUGUUACGGGAUUAUGUUGCUGGAAACAUUUACUAGGAGAAAGCCUAGUGAUUUUGAGGGAGAUCUUAGCUUGAAGCAAUGGGUGAGUUAUUCACUCCCCGAGGCAGUAAUGGACGUUGUAGAUGCCAAUUUGAUAACAGUACCAAUGGAUAAUUGCUUACAGAAGGAGCUAGAUGUUGUGGCAUCAAUCAUGAAAGUGGCAUUAGAUUGUUGUGCUGAAUCUCCGGCAAGAAGGACAAACAUGAAAGAUGUUGUAGGGAUGCUACAGAAGAUCAAGAUUCAACUUCUUACAUGUUGAGCAUUUUCUCAGAAUCUCUUGUUACAAAUCAAUCACUUGUUUGCUAAAUUUUUGGAUUCAUGUAAAGAUUGCUUCUGUUUUUUUUAGCACUUGAUUUGUGCAUGAUUCAGUUUUCAGAAAUUCUAGAUGGUUGCAAUAAAUAUCACUAUUUCAUUUGAUUACCGGCAAAUCUUGAAACAGAAUGAGUUCAGUGCUUCUAUCCUUUGUUUUGUGCUUUUUACUGAUGCAGAGGAUGAGUGAGUUUGUGUUCUUUUACCUUUAAUUUUGCGCAGUAUUCUUAUGUAAUGUGUUGGAGCAAAAUGCAUUUCAAUAUUUAAUCAUGUGAAAUGUGAUUGUGCAACAUUUCAUUUAUUACCCUAUAAUCUUUCUAUAAAUAGUGAAGGUCUUUCAUUAUUUUAUAUAUAAGAAAACAUAGAGGGUAAAAGAUGAAAAGUAUUAUAUCGUGUUUAUAUUGAGAUUAGUGUAGUGAAAGAGAGUGUUGAGAUAGAGAAAAAAUAUUCUAAGUCUUCCGCAAAUUAUAUGUUGUCAGUGUCGGUUGAAUGGGAAAUCCACUAAAUCAAGUGUUUUAGACAAUUAGACCCCAGGUGAAAAAAAAAAAAAACAAUUAGACCCCCAAAUUGAAGGCCCCAAAAUUUUAUUCUAUAUGCUAUAAAAAUAUGAAUAAGAAGUACUAAAUUAUUUCUUUUUUUUGAAAUGUGAUAGAAGUUAGUGAAAUACAUCUGGUACGACAAUUGGACAGGCUUGGGAUCACUUUAUCAUGUCUUACCAGAAGCCGAGGAAGAGGAAAUAGAGGUCAACACUUUCGCAGGGAUGGAAGGAUGGAAUAUACAUGAGCGAAGGGAUUGUAUGCCAGAGGAGUAUGUGCAGCAUAUUAUUAGAAACAUACCACCUCCAGAUAUUAGUAGUGAUAUUGACCAGGCAAAGUGGAUGCUGGAAACAACGGGGAGAUUCUCUGUGAAGAGUGCUUGGGGAUACAUAAGACUGAAAGAGGAAAAGGAAGACAAUUUUAAGCAUAUGUGGAUUAACAAAUUGCCUUUCAAAAUGUCAUUUUUCCUUUGGAGACUAUGGAAGUUUAGAAUUCCAAUAGAUGAAGUCUUGCAAAAUAUUGGAAUUCAACUUGUAUCUCAAUGUUGGUGUUGCCAUAAUCCUAAAGCUAAGACCUAUUAUCACUGCAGUACCAACAAUUAUUCUAUGGUAUUUAUGGAAAAGAAGGAGUAGUAUCAAACAUGGAAGAAGGAUGAGUUACAAACAGUCUGAUUUAUAGAGUUAGCAAUGACAUAUGGAGAUUGGAAACCACCUGAGUUAGGUACCCUAAAAUGCAACACUGAUGGAGCAUCAAGGGGUAAUCCAGGUAGAAGUGAUUAUGGGUUUUGCUUGAGAAAUCAUAAAGGGGAUCUAAUCUACGCUCAAGGGGAAGAAAUCAAUGAAUGCACCAACAUUGAGGCAGAGGCAAUUGCAAUCAAAGAAGCAAUUUAUCACUGUGUUGCCAUAUGUCUCGAUAAGGUAUGCAUCAAAACAGAUUAUUUAAGUUUGGUGAAGAUACUAGCCGGAAUUUGGGAAGUGCCUUGGCAUAUUGCUAUUCUAGUAAGUGAUAUCAAGGCUCUAGCACUUCAAUGUCAAGUUAGGAUCCAACAUGUUUAUAGGGAAGGGAAUACAUUGGCGGAUUACAUGGCUAAUCUAGCUUUGGAUAGGGAAGGUAGAUUGAGUUUUUCCAUUUUCACCGAACUACCCAGGAAAAUCCUAAACCUUGAAAAACAACUAGUGCCAAACUUAAGGAUCAAAACUAAAAGGAUUUCACAGCAACACAACAUCAAGGAAGGGGAAUUUUCUUUUUAUCAUUUGAUCAAAGGCCUUUUUUAGACACUAGCCAACAUCAUGAUAAGUGAAUACGAUAUGGAAGAAUUCAAAUUCAGAUUUCUAACAUAGCGAGAAUUCACACGAGUUCACUUCGGUCCAAUUUACAACAAGACUAAUAGCCUACUGGAGAGACAGUUUAUAUUUUUGCAGAUAAAAAAUACGUCAAUACAAAGGGCAGAGCUAUUUUUUUCAAAUAAAAAGAGCUCAAUUCGAAUGAGGCAAAAUAAGUUAUACAUCUGGUCACACAUUUGAAGCCACUGGAAUUUCAAUUCACACGCAGGGCACACUUUCAACUGAGAGAUUAAAAGACCUUGAUUUCAACUCAUUUUCAUACUUUGUACUUAGCUACAAUGUAAAGGAUGGAUCUUAAUCAUGAAAGAAGAAGUUACAAAGUCCAAAAAUUGAAGAAGAAGACGCUUACCCAGAUCGGUUAAGCUUCCAAAAACAAGAAAGUGUGGCGCCACAAGUUCGAUCAAACAUGAGAGUAUGCAUCUUUGAGGAAGGUUUUGUCUAAGCAGAUGCUUUCCUUUUCCAGAUUCAUCUGAUUAGGGGAUUUUUGUUGUUAAAUAUGAAAGGACUAUGAAGUUUAAUUCAGACAAAAGGUAACUUAUCCCUUUCAAAGUUCAUAUAACUCAUCACACAUUUAUUCUAAUAUUAUUUUAAUAAACUAUUACUUAGCCUGGAAUACACGUGCACUGCACGUGUUCGAAAACUAGUUAAAUAAAAUGGCCCCAUGGGUUAUUACUGGAAAAAAAAAAGUUAGUGAAAUACUAAUUCAAAUUUAUACUCUUUUCAUCUCUAUUUUUGUGGCUUGUUUUCUUUUCUACUUGGUAUCAAGAAGGAUGACAGCUUUUCAUAUUUAAUAAAAAUAUGAUGUUAAAUCUCUCAUUUUAACAUUAAUGAAAUAAUUAUUGCUAUAAUUUUUUUAUAAUUUGUUUUACACUAUAAAUUUUAAAAGUCUUUAUAUAUAUAUAUAUUUUUUUUUAUAAUUAUGCACUAUCUAAUCAAAUACCUUCACAUGAAUUAGAGAACAUAAACAUUAUGCAAUAUAUAAUUGUCUUGUUAAAACUGAGUGAUGUUUUUAUGUAGCGAUGAAACAUACUUUUUUCUCUUUUUUUUUGUACAUGAAAAAUAUAGAACUGAUAAUUUUAUGGUUAGAAUAACUCGUUAAAAACAAAUUAUAUAAAAGUUUUCGAUAAUCAAUAUUAGUUAUAAAUAAGUUAAGACCGUCAAAAAUGUACACCACAACAACAUAAAUUAAUUUUUUUAGAGACAAUCUACUUGUCUGAGGUCAAACGCUCACCACUUUUCAGUAUUGUUACUUAGUUACUCUAACAAAAUUUAUAGAAGGAGAAAAAUAAAUUUAAUGUAGUCAUGUAGCCCAACUUUAAGUGAAAGGUAAAGUUGUUGCAGGGCAAAUUGGUCUUUCAACAUUGCACUCGGAAGCUUUCCAUUUCUAAUAAAUAAAAUAUAUAAAAGAAAAUUAGAUGUAGUCAUGUAGCACAACUUUAAACCACAGAAUAUUUACUAUAGAGAAAAUGAAAGCAAGACUUGGUAGAUUCACAUUCUUUAUUGUCCUUUUUAUCAUCCUCAACAAAUUAAGUGAAAACAACAACAACAACAAGACAAUGGAAAGUUUUGCUAAUUUAUCUACUUAUCUAAAAUGAGGGGUUUCAACAGUACUUGAAAUCAAACUGACAACAACCAAUGUAGACACAUUUUUUUUGUUUAAUAGUUUAGUAUGCAUGAAGAAAAGUCCCUUUAAAAAAAGAUUAGAAAGAAAAGUCUCAUAAACACUUUCCUACUAAUAUUUUUACAUAUGGAGAAAGCCUUAAGAUCUUUUCUCUUAACACUACUCUUGUUGCUUCACUAUGUUAUGCCUAGUUCAACCAUGACUCGUACCAACGUUUCUACGGAUCAAUUAACUCUUCUCUCUUUGAAAUCUCAAAUUAGUUCCGACCCUUUCCAUUACUUGGAUGAAAGUUGGUCUCUCAAUAUUUCUGUUUGUCAUUGGGUAGGAGUCACUUGUGGUUCUCGCCACCAGCGAGUGAAGGCCUUGAAUUUUUCCAACAUGGCUCUUAUAGGGAGGAUUCCCCGUAAUUUUGGAAACCUCACAUUUCUUGUUUCUCUUGACUUGGGAAGCAACAACUUCCAGGGAAAUUUGCCUCAAGAAAUGGCACACUUGCGUCGGCUUAAGUUUGAACAAAUUCAGAGGGGAAAUUCCUUCUUGGUUUAGGCUUUUACACCAACUUCAAUAUGUAAGUCUUAGAAAUAAUAGUUUCACUGGUUCACUCCCAUCCUCGUUGCAUUUUGUUUCACUAUGGAGGAACAAUCUCAAAGGAUCCUUACCACGGGAGAUUGUCAACUUAACCAAGAUGCAAGUUUUAUAUCUUAACGAAAAUAGGUUUGUUGGUACGUAUUCAAAGUGAUAGCAAUCUGUAUUGAACUAGCUAGUUAGUAAACUUAAAUCUUUCUUCAUGUGUUGACAGGUGAAAUACCCAAAGAGAUAAGAAAUCUCGUUGAGUUGGAGAAACUUGGUCUUCAGUUUAAUAGUUUUAGUGGUUCACUUGAUAUGGAGAUGUUCAACAUAUCAGGGAUGAGAGCAAUUGAUCUUUCAGCCAACAAUCUACCAGGGACCAUCCAACCAAACAUAGGUUCUAUCUUACCCAACAUUGAAGAGCUUUAUCUGAGUCGCUUAACCAAUCUCGUUGGGACUAUUCCUUAUUCUAUCUCCAAUUGUUCAAAGCUUACUAAUCUAGAGCUUUCAUACAACAAACUCACAGGAUUGAUUCCCAAUUCUCUUGGAUAUUUGACUCAUCUACGCUUCCUAAACUUGGGGGGAAACAAUUUAACCAGUGAUUCAUUUUUAAGCUUCCUCACUUCCUUAACCAAUUGCAGAAAUUUAACAUCUCUUUAUCUAUCUUUCAACCCUCUAAAUGGCAUGCUUCCAGUCUCCGUAGGGAACUUCUCCAUAUCUCUUGUAAUUUUUUAGCCACUGCUUGCAAGAUCAACGGCCAGAUUCCAAAUGAAGUUGGAAACUUAAGCAGCUUAUUAGACCUUGAUCUUUCUUAUAAUAACUUAAUUGGAUCAAUUCCAUCAUCAACUCAGAACUUGAGUAACCUUCAGCGUAUGCAUUUUGAAUACAACAAACUUACAGGAUUUAUUGGAGAUCAUAUAUGUAAAUUGCAUUAUUUGGGUUUUGAUAGACUUCACUCAAAAUCAACUUUCAGGAUCUAUUCCAAAUUGUUUAGGGAACGUUACCUCCCUUAGAGAGAUAUAUCUGAAAUCCAAUAAAUUGAGUUCCAAUAUACCAACAAGCUUAGGAAAUCUGAAAGAUUUAGUGGUUCUUGACUUAUCAUCAAACAACAUGGUUGGUUCUUUACCUCCGGAAAUUGGAAAUCUAAAAUCUGUGAUACAGAUGGAUUUGUAGAUGAAUCAAUUCUCAAAUGGAAUUCCAAGAGAAAUUGGAGGAUUGCAAAAUCUGGUGCAUCUUUCUUUGAGACACAACAAGUUGCAAGGAUCUAUACCUGACUCAAUGAGCAACAUGGUAGGUUUGGAAUUCCUAGACCUUUCUCAUACUAAUAUAUCAGGAAUCAUUCCUAUGUCUUUGGAGAAACUUCAAUACCUCAAGUAUUUCAAUGUUUCUGACAACAAAUUGCACGGCGAAAUACCCUCGGCGGGUCCUUUCAAGAACGUCUCGAGUCUUUUUUUCAUCAACAAUGAAGCAUUGUGUGGUUCUUCAAGAUUUAGCGUCCCUCCAUGCCCCACUUCAUCAAAGCAUAGGUCAAAUAGGAAAAAAAAUCUUAUGCUGGGAAUUGCACUUGUAUUUGUUCCUAUUACCCUUGUGUUUGUAUGGAUAAGGUAUAGAAGAGGUAAAAGAUCUCCUCAGCAAACUGAUUCAUUGUCUAUGGCAACAACGGAAAGAAUUUCAUACUAUGAACUGCUCCAAGCAACUGAUUCGCUUAGCGAGAGUAAUCUGAUUGGUUCUGGAAGUUUUGGCUCUGUUUAAAAAGGCGUUCUCAGGAGUGGGACUGCCAUUGCAGUUAAAGUGUUCAAUCUGCAACUGGAAGCGGCAUUCAAGAGUUUUGAUACAGAAUGUGAAGUUUUACGCAGCCUUCGCCACAGGAAUCUCGUGAAAGUCAUCACUAGUUGCUCCAACCUUGAUUUUAAGGCUUUAGUGCUCGAGUAUAUGCCUAAUGGAAGUCUUGACAAGUAUUUGUAUUCGCACAACUACUUCCUAGACAUCAGACAGAGACUAAGCAUUAUGAUAGAUGUGGCAUGU
rnacentral:lncRNA from 1 species